GGCGUAUCUCCUUGGCGACGCCUCGUCAGCUGUUUAAGUCGUCCAACAUGACCCAACGCUGGCAGAGGAGGGAGAUCUCCAACUUCGAGUAUCUCAUGUUCCUCAACACCAUCGCAGGGAGGACCUACAAUGAUCUGAACCAGUACCCAGUGUUUCCUUGGGUUCUCACUAACUAUGAGUCAGAGGAGCUGGACCUCACUCUGCCCGGCAACUUCAGAGACCUAUCGAAGCCAAUCGGAGCGUUGAACCC